rnacentral:rRNA from 1 species
UACGGGGGGGGUAAGCGUUGUUCGGAAUUACUGGGCGUAAAGGGCUCGUAGGCGGCCAACUAAGUCGGACGUGAAAUCCCUCAGCUUAACUGGGGAACUGCGUCCGAUACUGGAUGGCUUGGAUUUGGGAGAGGGAUGCGGAAUUCCAGGUGUAGCGGUGAAAUGCGUAGAUAUCUGGAGGAACACCGGUGGCGAAGGCGGCACCCUGGACCAAUAUUGACGCUGAGGAGCGAAAGCCAGGGGAGCAAACGGG